UAAACGACUCUCGGCAACGGAUAUCUCGGCUCUCGCAUCGAUGAAGAACGCAGCGAAAUGCGAUACUUGGUGUGAAUUGCAGGAUCCCGCGAACCAUCGAGUUUUUGAACGCAAGUUGCGCCCGAAGCCUUUUGGCCGAGGGCACGUCUGCCUGGGUGUCACUC
rnacentral:rRNA from 3 species